AGCUCCCAUGGCGCCUGUUUAUCAAAAACAUGGUUUUUUGAAGUAAUAAAAAAUCUAACCUGCUCAAUGCAAAUGUUAAUAGCCGCAGUAAUUUGACUGUGCUAAGGUAGCAUAAUCAUUUGUCUUUUAAAUAAGGUCUAGGAUGAAAGGUUGGACGAAGGAAAUACUGUCUCUUUAUUAAUUAAUGAAUUUAAUUAAUAAGUAAAAAGGCUUAUAUAAAGCUGGAGGACGAUAAGACCCUAUUGAGCUUAAUUUUAUAAUUUUACUGGGGCGGUAAUGUAAGAAAAAAAUCUUAUUUUAUUGAAUAAAAUUUAGGGACCCAAUAUUAUUGAGUAGAAGAUAAAGCUACCAUAGGGAUAACAGCUUGAUUUUUUCUUAAAGUUCAUAUUUAGGAAAAAGUUUGAGACCUCGAUGUUGAAUUAAGGAAUCUUUUUAGUGGAGAAGCUAAAAGAGAGAGUCUGUUCGACUCUUAAAUCUUUACGUGAUCUGAGUUCAGACCGGCCAUGGGAAGCUCUAUA
rnacentral:rRNA from 1 species